UGAGGAAUAUUGGUCAAUGGGCGCGAGCCUGAACCAGCCAAGUCGCGUGAGGGACGACGGUCCUACGGAUUGUAAACCUCUUUAGGCGGGGAGUAAUGUGCUCUACGAGUAGAGUAGUGAGAGUACCCGCAGAAUAAGCAUCGGCUAACUCCGUGCCAGCAGCCGCGGUAAUACGGAGGAUGCGAGCGUUAUCCGGAUUUAUUGGGUUUAAAGGGUGCGCAGGCUGUGCAUCAAGUCAGCGGUAAAAUCUCGGGGCUCAACCCCGUUUAGCCGUUGAAACUGGUGUGCUGGAGUGUGCGCGAGGAAGGCGGAAUGCGCGGUGUAGCGGUGAAAUGCAUAGAUAUUGCGCAGAACUCCGAUUGCGAAGGCAGCCUUCCAGUGCAUGACUGACGCUGAGGCACGAAAGCGUGGGUAUCGAACAGG
rnacentral:rRNA from 2 species